AUGGAACAGCACCCAGAAGCAGGGUUGGGAAGUGCUAUGGAUGAGCCUGCUGUUUACUCAUCAUCUGAUGCUAUGCGUUGUCCUCCCAAGCUACCAGGAGAGCCUCUUAAUGGUGUGCCAGGGAGAAGAAGGGGAGUUACUGCAUUCAUUCAUGGGGUGUCAGAGCCCUCUCUCCCAGCCCUGCUGGGGCAGCAGCCUGGUGAGCAAUGCCUCUGUUCAUCUCCAUCCUUGUGGCACAGUAAGGGAGAGGAUUUCAUCCCUGCUGUCACCUCAGCACCAUCCACCCCUGCCUGAGGCUUGGAAAUUAAAAUAAUAAACAAAGCAACUAGAGCUGUGUGCAGAGGCUAAUGUACCAUAAUGCUCCAAAACCCAGGCAGCCACCACCUCAUGCUGAGCAGAAAGGACGUUUGAAGAAUGCAUCUUCCUCUGGCAGCGAUUAUUUCAACAUUACUUUUAUUUUUUUUGCCACUUCAAAUAAUGCAUUCAGUUGUCCCCAGCUCAUCAUUUUCUUAUAGAGAAGAGUAGAGGGCAGUGGGGGAUGGCAGAACAAUUCCACUUCCUAAUGCAGUCAAUGGGAUUUAAAGCCUGGAUACCUCUCAGGGCCCGAUCUUUGCAGUAUGGAUGGGGUGGCUGUGCUGGAACUGGGGACACAGCAGCAUCUGAGCACUGGUAUUUUGUCAUGGCUCAAUUCUCCAGCAGAGCUAUUCCAUUUCCACUUCAGGAAAACAAACCCAAAAGUGCACAGCCAGAACCACUGGCUUUGUUGAAAGAGCAAAAUCCACUUAGAGAUCCCACUUUUCCAACUCACGAACUACUGUGGUUAUAAAAGUGAAGCCUUGCACACAAUGGCUCCGUUGUGGAGAAAAAGUUUUUCCUUCAAGAGGGCCAGGUCUCCAAGACAUGCAGGAUAUGGUUAGAGACUCUUCUUAAUGAAAUCACUCUUAAAAGGCAGGAAGGCCUCUGAGAAAUCUUCAUUUUGAGCAACUCAGAGAUGAGGUCCAGGUUGUAUGUCUGGCUCAGAGGAAAGAAAAGGGGAUGGAAACAGCGUGAGUCUCAUUUUGAGGAUGGAAAAUAAAGGAGGGAAGAGGAUGAAUGGGUCAUCUGCUGUCUGGUGGAGGUGGGUUCCUGCCCAUCUGCAUGGCUGGGUGAAUUGCCACCUGAUGACUCCAAAUGGAACCCAUAACCCAACCCCAGUGGGAGCAGCUUUCGGCUGGACCUUGACAUCCCCUGGCCAGCUCCCUGCUGUGAGCGCACUGCAUGCUGGAAUCUCCACAGGGAAACAAGAGCAUAGGACUCCAUCAUGCCCAUUGAACCAGACAAAAUCAUCAGCAACAACAUCAGGGGAAAUAAAAUCAAACGGAUGGUAAUGCUCCAAAAGGACAAGCAGUCCUCCUUCUUUACCUCUUUCCUUUGGACAGCAUGCAGUGAAGGCACUGGGGAGGAAGGUUGAUGGGGAGUUAUCUGUGGCAACACGAAUGUUGUAAUUCCAGAGGCACGGCGCAUCUGCACAGAUGGGAAAAUUACCAUUGUGGUACUUGGGUGGUAUGACAAGUAACUUUUCUUUGGCACCCCGAAAAACAGCUCAACUGUGGGAGGAAUGUGUCAGUUGCAAUUUUGUAACUUAAUGAAAUAAAUCAACCAGAUCGAAAGAGGAGCUGGAGAUGUUCCCACACAGCCUCGUGGGAACGCAAAGGCCACAUGAAGGCAGCUGCUGGCAAGACGGGAGCUCAUCUGGAGAACUCUGGGGCCACCCUUGGGGCGAUGACAACAAAUUCCCCAAGUGAGGAAGCUGCUUUGAACUUUCUCCAGCCUUUGUGGAUGAGAUUUCAGGAACACAUGGCUGCUGGGUUCCAAAAGGGCCCCUUCUCACUCAGCUCAGCAGUAGUCCUGGCGGGGAUUCUGCUUCUCCCAGCCUGCUGGGGGUCUGCCUGAAGACAUCACAAAGGGCUGACAGCAGAUGCAUGUCUUCACCUCACCAAGACCAGAGGAUGUUGCUGGUGCUCCCAUGAGCCCAAACAGGCAGAGCAGCAAAGAGGGAAUCAUAGAAUAUCCUGAGCUGGAAGAGACCCAUAAGGAUCAAUGAGUUCAACUCAGUGGAGUAAUGCUUGGCAAACCCCACACUGCUCCUCAUAAGUCCAGUGAGAAAUGAGCAGUGAGUAAACCAGGAGCAUCUUCUCAUGGCAGGAGCCCACAAAGGCUCAUUCUUUGGCUGUGGAUAUGUAUCAUUGCUUGCCCAAAAUAACCACCGAAGGCCCACAGUACAAGGUUCUCUAGAGCUUUGCAGCAAGAAAUUGAUUUCCAUAGUCGCCCUCAUUAAUUUUCAUGGCACCCACAGUGUGUUUUUAGAACAAGCAGAAUUAUUAAUGUUCAAAGUUACUUGAGCACUGUUGGGAACACAAGGCCCCCAAAGAUGGGCUGGGGGAAGGGAAAGACAAUAUGUGGAUCCAUUCUUUAGACUGAGAUCAUCCAGUCCAACAUCAACCCAUCCCCACCAUGCCCACUAACCAUGCAUCUCAAUGCCUCAGCUACCCUUUCCUUGAGCACCUCUGGGGCUGGGGGGGGAAUCUUUCUGAAACAGGUGACUCUGAUAACCUGGAAAAGAGCCCUUUUGCCCUUUUCCUGAAGCACUGCAUCCUAUUUACUGCUGCGUUAUGCAGGCUGAAACCACCGCAGAGCUGUGAGUGCAGUGAGGUUUGCUCUGAUGGCCUUCGUUCUUUCAAUUUUUUUUUCCAUUUCUUGGAUGAUGUCGUGGCCUGUUUGUUUCCUGUAGCUACUCCCCACGAACACACAUGCAUCUCUGUGGUGUGUGAGUUUCUCUCUCUUCAACCAAGAGACUCUGCCUGUGGCAGCGGGCACCCAUCCUUGCACCUGAGUAU
ensembl:lncRNA